UAAGUCAAACGUAUCAUUGACUGUUGACUGGGGUAGAACUUAAAGGGUUUUCCAUCAUUACUGCAGCCACCGAGAAAGAAAACUGCCUUUCUCUGUCUUCAAAGACUUUGAAAACCUUGUAGGGAGUGGGAGCCAUGAAUCACAACUUCUCCACAGAUGGAAGCAGAGAGAUGAUGUCUACUAAGAAUAAAAUUUCCUUUUGAUUGUUAAAGGCAAUAUCCGGAAACUCAAAAACAUCUUUUCUUAUAUUGUCUAAUUUAAUGCACUGGAAGAAAGGUCCAGAGAGAGGUGGUUUCAGUGUUGUGAGGUAGCCAUCAGAGAAGACCCCCUUGGACACUAGUUCAAGCCAAUAGGAAGCCUACCUUAGCCAGCCG